UGCCAGACUCCUACGGGAGGCAGCAGUGGGGAAUAUUGCACAAUGGGGGAAACCCUGAUGCAGCAACGCCGCGUGAGUGAGGAAGUAUUUCGAUAUGUAAAGCUCUCUCAGCAGGGAAGAAGAUGACGGUACCUGAGUAAGAAGCCCCGGCUAACUAUGUGCCAGCAGCCGCGGUAAUACGUAGGGGGCAAGCGUUAUCCGGAUUUACUGGGUGUAAAGGGAGCGUAGACGGCAGUGCAAGUCCGGAGUGAAAGCCCGGGGCUCAACCCUGGGACUGCUCUGGAAACUGUAAAGCUGGAGUGCGGGAGGGGCAGGCGGAAUUCCUGGUGUAGCGGUGAAAUGCGUAGAUAUCAGGAGGAACACCGGUGGCGAAGGCGGCCUGCUGGACGAUGACUGACGUUGAGGCUCGAAAGCGUGGGGAGCAAACAGGAUUAGAUACCCCAGUAUCC
rnacentral:rRNA from 1 species